UACGUAGGGUGCGAGCGUUAAUCGGAAUUACUGGGCGUAAAGCGUGCGCAGGCGGGCUUUUAAGCCAGACGUGAAAUCCCCGGGCUUAACCUGGGAAUGGCGUUUGGGACUGGGAGUCUGGAGUGCGGCAGAGGAGACUGGAAUUCCUGGUGUAGCAGUGAAAUGCGUAGAUAUCUGGAGGAACACCGGUGGCGAAGGCGGCAUCCUGGACCAACACUGACGCUGAGUGAGCGAAAGCCAGGGGAGCAAACGGG
rnacentral:rRNA from 1 species